AUGCAAAAUGCAUUGUUGAAGCUAUGGGCAAUGGUUGAAGAUAGCAAGAGUGCUAGGGUGAAUGAUAAUCUUGAAAGUUCUUUCACUAUCCACCAUCUGACAGAAGAGAAGAACAAGCUGGAGGCCAACUAUGACAAGCUAGUCCAAGAUGUGCAUGAGCUUAUGAGCUUCCAGGAGGAGAGGGUGAAGUGA
rnacentral:rRNA from 1 species